GCCAGUGUGGCAUAGUGGUUUGAGCGUUGGACUACAAGUCCGGAGACCAGGGUUUGAAUCCCAGCUCAGCCA